rnacentral:rRNA from 1 species
RKKCGCCCUUAGUUUGAUCCUGGCUCAGAACGAACGCUGGCGGCGUGCUUAACACAUGCAAGUCGAACGUGAUCCAGAGCUUGCUCUGGUGAAAGUGGCGCACGGGUGAGUAACGCGUGGAUAACCUGCCCUGGUAUCUGGGAUAACAUCUCGAAAGGGGUGCUAAUACCGGAUAAGCCUACGGGAUCUUCGGAUUCUGCAGGAAAAGGAGGCCUCUAUUUAUAAGCUUCCGUAUCAUGAUGGGUCCGCGUACCAUUAGCUAGUUGGUGGGGUAAUGGCCUACCAAGGCGACGAUGGUUAGCUGGUCUGAGAGGAUGAUCAGCCACACUGGAACUGAGACACGGUCCAGACUCCUACGGGAGGCAGCAGUGGGGAAUUUUGCGCAAUGGGGGAAACCCUGACGCAGCAACGCCGCGUGAGUGAUGAAGGCUUUCGGGUCGUAAAGCUCUGUCAGAGGGGAAGAAAUGAAACGUGCUARUAUCACGUUUUCUUGACGGUACCCUCAAAGGAAGCACCGGCUAACUCCGUGCCAGCAGCCGCGGUAAUAC